AUGCUGACAUAAGUAACGAUAAAGCGGGUGAAAAGCCCGCUCGCCGGAAGACCAAGGGUUCCUGUCCAACGUUAAUCGGGGCAGGGUGAGUCGACCCCUAAGGCGAGGCCGAAAGGCGUAGUCGAUGGGAAACAGGUUAAUAUUCCUGUACUUGGUGUUACUGCGAAGGGGGGACGGAGAAGGCUAUGUUGGCCGGGCGACGGUUGUCCCGGUUUAAGCGUGUAGGCUGGUUUUCCAGGCAAAUCCGGAAAAUCAAGGCUGAGGCGUGAUGACGAGGCACUACGGUGCUGAAGCAACAAAUGCCAUGCUUCCAGGAAAAGCCUCUAAGCAUCAGGUAACAUCAAAUCGUACCCCAAACCGACACAGGUGGUCAGGUAGAGAAUACCAAGGCGCUUGAGAGAACUCGGGUGAAGGAACUAGGCAAAAUGGUGCCGUAACUUCGGGAGAAGGCACGCUGAUAUGUAGGUGAAGCGACUUGCUCGUGGAGCUGAAAUCAGUCGAAGAUACCAGCUGGCUGCAACUGUUUAUUAAAAACACAGCACUGUGCAAACACGAAAGUGGACGUAUACGGUGUGACGCCUGCCCGGUGCCGGAAGGUUAAUUGAUGGGGUCAGCGCAAGCGAAGCUCUUGAUCGAAGCCCCGGUAAACGGCGGCCGUAACUAUAACGGUCCUAAGGUAGCGAAAUUCCUUGUCGGGUAAGUUCCGACCUGCACGAAUGGCGUAAUGAUGGCCAGGCUGUCUCCACCCGAGACUCAGUGAAAUUGAACUCGCUGUGAAGAUGCAGUGUACCCGCGGCAAGACGGAAAGACCCCGUGAACCUUUACUAUAGCUUGACACUGAACAUUGAGCCUUGAUGUGUAGGAUAGGUGGGAGGCUUUGAAGUGUGGACGCCAGUCUGCAUGGAGCCGACCUUGAAAUACCACCCUUUAAUGUUUGAUGUUCUAACGUUGACCCGUAAUCCGGGUUGCGGACAGUGUCUGGUGGGUAGUUUGACUGGGGCGGUCUCCUCCUAAAGAGUAACGGAGGAGCACGAAGGUUGGCUAAUCCUGGUCGGACAUCAGGAGGUUAGUGCAAUGGCAUAAGCCAGCUUGACUGCGAGCGUGACGGCGCGAGCAGGUGCGAAAGCAGGUCAUAGUGAUCCGGUGGUUCUGAAUGGAAGGGCCAUCGCUCAACGGAUAAAAGGUACUCCGGGGAUAACAGGCUGAUACCGCCCAAGAGUUCAUAUCGACGGCGGUGUUUGGCACCUCGAUGUCGGCUCAUCACAUCCUGGGGCUGAAGUAGGUCCCAAGGGUAUGGCUGUUCGCCAUUUAAAGUGGUACGCGAGCUGGGUUUAGAACGUCGUGAGACAGUUCGGUCCCUAUCUGCCGUGGGCGCUGGAGAACUGAGGGGGGCUGCUCCUAGUACGAGAGGACCGGAGUGGACGCAUCACUGGUGUUCGGGUUGUCAUGCCAAUGGCACUGCCCGGUAGCUAAAUGCGGAAGAGAUAAGUGCUGAAAGCAUCUAAGCACGAAACUUGCCCCGAGAUGAGUUCUCCCUGACUCCUUGAGAGUCCUGAAGGAACGUUGAAGACGACGACGUUGAU
rnacentral:rRNA from 1 species